UACGAAGGGGGGCUAGCGUUGCUCGGAAUCACUGGGCGUAAAGGGUGCGUAGGCGGGUCUUUAAGUCAGGGGUGAAAUCCUGGAGCUCAACUCCAGAACUGCCUUUGAUACUGAGGUAUCUUGAGUCCGGGAGAGGUGAGUGGGAACUCCGAGUGUAGAGGUGAAAUUCGUAGAUAUUCGGAAGAACACCAGUGGCGAAGGCGGCUCACUGG
rnacentral:rRNA from 1 species